CAGAGUAGUAACUCAGGAAACACAGGGGAUUGGUUAGGGAAGAGUUUGAUCACCGAUGGCUUUGGGAUUCACUGAUCCAAGAAAAAGUUCAUGUGGAAAAUGUCUGUGUCAAGCAGGAGCACUAUCUCCACUGAUGCCAUAGAUCCUAUUCUUAACUGAAUGAUUGACAAGAUGAAAAAGCUGGGAUGUAAAACUUUACCCCAAUCCCUGCCUUCUGCAUCCAUAGCGGCAGUGGGACCUGGCGGGACAGAAAACUCCAGCUACAGUGUGUGUGGAGUCACAUGUACCAAGGUACACAUGUGGAAGUCAGAGAACAACUCACAAGGACCCAGUUUAUCUCCUUCUACCACUUUCGACUCAGAUGUCUGACUGUCAAAGGAGUUAUCACCUGGUCUUGGAUACACACCUACACUAUUGGCAAACAGAGCUUCUGGUAGACAUGUAGAGAAAGGGUUGGUCCACCAGGAAGCUCUUGUCUUUAAUUGAGAGAGGGCUGAAUGCCUAUGCUCAGUCUUACUGCAUCUGUGACAGUGUUUGUCCUCUGUGCUUUCAGGAUAAAGAGUAAAUGUAUCACCUUCCUCAACAUUAUCAGUGGCUUCUAAAUUCUUCUCUAUUAAGAAGUCAAUUGGGCCAGGCCUAGGCCCUUCCCCAUGUGUCCAGGUCAAAAGAGCAUCCCUUCACAUGGUAUGGGCUAUCAAAAUC
ensembl:lncRNA